UCUUCCUGAACAAGGAUAGAAAAAGCUUGGGCCAUAGUAGGUAGUGGGUUCAUCAUCAAUAUGCUUCCUCUCACAAUAGUAUAUACCUCAUUUAGUCCCAUGAGGAACUGUAUUAGUCUCCUGUCAAGUUCAGCUUUGUGCAUCUUCGACUUUCCACCACAUGUGCACAAACAUGUGCAUUGUGAAUUGGUGUCCAAAGUGCUAAGCUCUUCCCACAACUUCUUUAUCCUGGUGUA
rnacentral:lncRNA from 1 species